rnacentral:tRNA from 1 species
GGAGGGUGUAGCUCAGUGGUAGAGCAUGUGCUUCGCAUGCACAAGGUCCUGGGUUCGAUCCCCAGCACCUCCA